CUCCUGUCUCAGCCUCCCGAGUAGCUGGAACUCCCAAGCUCAGAGUGGAGAAUGAGGUUGCAUCUCAGGAUGGCCACAGCGCCUUCCUUCCCAAGCCCUUUCUUCAGCAGCCGUGGUGGGAGCUGCAGCCGAAAAGCCCCUUUGGAGUUGCAGCUAGAGGGUGCCUUCCAGGAGCUGCUGGGCCAGCUUCACCAAUGCCUGCAGACGGUCAGGACAGAUUCAGAGAAGCUCUGGGUCAGAACGAGGGUGAAAAGCCCCUUCCUCGAGCUUCCGGUCGAACAGCCCCAUGGGGGUGCCCUGACCUUCUUGCUCUAAUGCAGCUGCUGUUCCCCGGGGCAGCGACUCCCCUUCUCUCCCUCCCAAGUGCGGCCCUGCCCUCUUCACAGGCACACACCCCACAGCACGUGCAGUGCCUCAAGGCGCCCGAGGUGCACGGGGAGGCCCAUCAGUGCUGUUCCCCAAGCCUCCAGCUUUCUUGCUGGAAUCUUUCUUUCCCACCCCUUUGCAGCUUGGCAUGAGCUUGUCACUUGAGGUGGCCAGUGAGAUGUUGUGGGCAUGAGAGGUGGUGCCAAGAGAUCAGGCGUGACUCCACCUCCCGUUCCCACCUCGGAGGCCUGGCAGCACACGCUGGGGGCUCCCCAACCUGGGCGGCUGGGCGAGGACGAGGCGCAGACCCCACACCUGCCACAGGCCCACACUGGAGGGAGUCAGCGGCUGAGGGUCGGGCCGUUCGUUACCACCGCACAGCCUGGCUCAUCCUGGCUGACUCGGGGCAGUGCUGCCCGGGCCAGGCGGAGCAGGGAGGACGUGGUGGGGUGUUUGGAAGGCGGAGCAAGAACCUAAUAAAUGUGAGCCCUGGACUCUGAGGCCGGGCAGCGAAUGUUCUGCGGGUGCUGUCUGCGGCCGGAUGUGGGUUUUGGCAUCAUGAGCUCAGGAGAGAACUGGCCGGUGGGUGAGCAGGUGCGAAAGGAAACCGAGAAAACCCGGGGGGUACUUUGUGGGUUAAAAGAGGCAACUGCCUUUCCAUCCUGACCAGCAGAAGGGAAGACUGCAGAGACCCUCGAAUGUCGAUCUCAGCGGUUGCGGCUAGGAUGGAAUCAAGAGCAGGCCACCGCACCCACCGCUGACAAAUCUCCAGCCUGGGUGACAGAGCCAGACCCUGCUGUCAGGCCUCCGAGCCCAAGCCUGGACGUGUACAUCCAGAUGGCCUGAGGCAACUGAAGAACCACAAGAGAAGUGAAAAUGGCCAGUUCCUGCCUUAACUGACGACAUUGCCUCAUGAAAUUCCUUCUCCUGGACAGUGAGUCUCAGAAGUUCCCCCACCCAGCACCCUGUGACCCCUGCCCCUGCCCGCCAGAGAACAAACCUCUUUGACUGCAAUUUUCUGCUACCCACCCAGAUCCUAUAAAAUGGCUCCACCCCAUCUCCCUUUGCUGACCACCUGCACCCAGGUGAUUAAAAAG
rnacentral:lncRNA from 1 species